CGUAACUUCGGGAGAAGGUACGCUCUUGUGUGUGAAGGACUUGCUCCGUAAGCACGUGAGAGUCGCAGUGACCAGCUGGCUGCAACUGUUUAUUAAAAACACAGCACUCUGCAAACACGAAAGUGGACGUAUAGGGUGUGACGCCUGCCCGGUGCCGGAAGGUUAAUUGAUGGGGUUAGCGCUUGCGCGAAGCUCUUGAUCGAAGCCCC
rnacentral:rRNA from 1 species